CCUACGGGUGGCAGCAGUGGGGAAUAUUGCACAAUGGGGGAAACCCUGAUGCAGCGACGCCGCGUGAGUGAAGAAGUAACUCGUUGUGGAAAGCUCUAUCAGCAGGGGAGAAAAUGACGGUACCUGAGUAAGACGCCCCGGCUAACUACGUGCCAGCAGCCGUGGGAAUACGUAGGGGGCAAGCGUUAUACGGAGUUACUGGGUGUAAUGGGAGCGUAGACGGCAGUGCAAGUCUGGAGUGAAAGGCGGGGGCUCAACCCCCGUACUGCUGUGGAAACUGUACGGCUGGAGUGCAGGAGAGGUAAGUGGAAUUCCUGGUGUAGCGGUGAAAUGCGUAGAUAUUAGGAAGAACACCAGUGGCGAAGGCAGCUUACUGGACUGUAACUGACGUUGAGGCUCGAAAGCGUGGGGAGCAAACAGGAUUAGAUACCCCAGUAGUC
rnacentral:rRNA from 1 species